rnacentral:lncRNA from 1 species
GUUAUAUUGCUGCAAGUUUACCAUAUUUUACCUGAAACAACUUAGAUUAUUACCCCUAAGUGGACUGCAAUGAGAUUUAUAGUGUAAUCCCACUAAAAUAUAAUGUGAGAGGAUUGCCUGAGGCCAGGAGUUUGAGACUAGCCUAGGCAACAUAGUGAGAACCUGUCGCUACAAAUAAUAAUAAUAAUAAUCAAAGCUCUCACCUCAAUAACCUAGGAAAAAAAUAGCAAAAUAAAUCCAAAGCAAGCAGAAGGAAGGAAAUAAUAAAGAUAAGAACAGAAAUCCAUGAAAUUAGAAACCGAAAAACAAUAGAGCAAGCCAAUGAAACAAAGGGCUGGUUCUUUGAAAAGAUCAAUAAAAUUACAAACCUCUAGCAAGACUGACAAAGAAAAAUAAGAGAAAAGACACAAAUUACCAAUACCAGAAAUUAAAUAUCACUAUAGACUGUACAAACAUAAAAAAGUAAGGGAAUACUGCAAAACCUCUAUGCACAUGUUUUUGACAGUUUAGAUGAAAUGAAACAACUCCUCCAAACACAAAGUGCCACAACUCAUGCAAUAUGAAAUAAAUAAUUGAAGUUGCCCUGUAACAACUCAGGAAAUUAAAUUUAUAAUUUAAAAAUUCCCAAGAAAAAAAAACUCCAGGCCCUGAUUGUUUCACUGGGGAAUUUUACCAAAUGUUUAAAGAAGAAAUAACGCUAAUUCUAUAAAAUCUUUUUCAGAAAAUAGAGGAGAACACCCACCAAUUCAUUUUAUGAAGCUAAUAUUACUCUGACACCAAAACCAGAAAGAGAUGUUAUAAACAAAGAAAACUACAGACCAAUAUCUUUGAUUAAUAUAGACACAAAGUUCUUAGCAAAAUUGAAUGCAACAAUAUGUAAAAAAGAAUUAUACAUUAAAACGAAGUGGUGUUUAUUCUAGGGAUGGUUCAAUAAUAGAAAAUAAAUCAAUGUAAUCCAUCAUAUUUUAAGGCUAAAGAAGAAAAAAUUACAGAAUUAUAUCAAUAGGUGCAGGAAAAAGUACUUAACAA